GACGUAGGGCGCAAGCGUUGUCCGGAAUUAUUGGGCAUAAAGCGCGCGCAGGCGGUCCCUUAAGUCUGAUGUGAAAGCCCACGGCUCAACCGGGGAGGGUCAUUGGAAACUGGCAGACUUGAGUGCAGAAGAGGAGAGUGGAAUUCCAUGUGUAGCGGUGAAAUGCGCAGAGAUAUGGAGGAACACCAGUGGCGAAGGCGACUUUCUGGUCUGUAACUGACGCUGAGGCGCGAAAGCGUGGGGAGCAAACAGG
rnacentral:misc_RNA from 1 species